rnacentral:rRNA from 1 species
AUGAACGCUGGCGGCGUGCCUAAUACAUGCAAGUCGAGCGAACGGACGAGAAGCUUGCUUUUCUGAUGUUAGCGGCGGACGGGUGAGUAACACGUGGAUAACCUACCUAUAAGACUGGGAUAACUUCGGGAAACCGGAGCUAAUACCGGAUAAUAUUUUGAACCGCAUGGUUCAAAAGUGAAAGACGGUCUUGCUGUCACUUAUAGAUGGUUCCGCGCUGCAUUAGCUAGUUGGUAAGGUAACGGCUUACCAAGGCAACGAUGCAUAGCCGACCUGAGAGGGUGAUCGGCCACACUGGAACUGAGACACGGUCCAGACUCCUACGGGAGGCAGCAGUAGGGAAUCUUCCGCAAUGGGCGAAAGCCUGACGGAGCAACGCCGCGUGAGUGAUGAAGGUCUUCGGAUCGUAAAACUCUGUUAUUAGGGAAGAACAUAUGUGUAAGUAACUGUGCACAUCUUGACGGUACCUAAUCAGAAAGCCACGGCUAACUACGUG